rnacentral:rRNA from 1 species
ACUCCUACGGGAGGCAGCAGUGGGGAAUUUUGGACAAUGGGGGCAACCCUGAUCCAGCCAUGCCGCGUGCAGGAUGAAGGCCUUCGGGUUGUAAACUGCUUUUGUACGGAACGAAAAGACUCUGGUUAAUACCUGGGGUUCAUGACGGUACCGUAAGAAUAAGCACCGGCUAACUACGUGCCAGCAGCCGCGGUAAU